UGGAGUUACUAUGCUUAACCAACACGGGGCAGGGGUUUGGGCUCAGCGUCCUAGCUCCAGGGCAAUGCAAGUGCAGCCACAAGGGCACUCUAGAACCAGGGUUGGGUGGGCCCAGAUCCCAAAUCCAAGCCCGGAAUUACAGCCGCCAUUUCCGGGCACAAGGGAAUGCAUCCAUUGGGGCAGCUGUCAAGACUCUGGUCAUUCUCCAUGCCUUCUUUCCGGCCAGAUACCUAUCUCUCUCCCUGUCAGAGGCUGCCGUAACGGUGACCUCUGCCUCGGGCCCUUCUUGAGAGACUCCAUGUGUCACCUUUGGGGCACAAGGAGCGGCAGUGCCACCAGUGAGCCACUGGUGAAUCUUUGGCACACUUUGAGGUGGGACAAUUCCUCCUCUCAUGCCCCAGCUCUUUGAAUAAGUGACAUACAUCUGUUGUCCAGGAGCAAUGGUAGGCCAACCCCUCGUAGAGCCCGGGAAAUACUCACUGAGUCACCUCUACCCAGUCCAUGCAAACAAUCACCUGAUGCCUGAAGGAGUAGACAUGUCCACGUCAGUUUACCCUCCUUAAAACCGAGUGAGAUGUGUGCAAUUCCGGCCCUCACCUCUCCCAGCAGUUGUAAAUGAGGGAGGAGAAGCUGAUGGAAACAGCGAAUGGGAAGUGGGAGAUCACAGUUCUCUGCACCAUGACCUCCAAGCAUCUCCAGGCUCCUGUCAAAGGAAAUGAUGACCAAUGAUUGGCCCCAACAGCACCUCACACCCAGCGCUCUUAUUUUGAUAAUCUUCAUGAGGUGAUGGAUGAGACCAUACCUCGUCUUGUCUGUUGAGGAUUGACUGCCUGUACCACGUCUAGCAGGAUCCCCAAGCCUCUGCACCUGACAUGGGCCUGGUUCCACUAAAGCAGGGUGGAUCCUCUUCCUUCAUGGUAAUAGCUGAAUGGUGGUAUCUGCCAGGCCAUGAAUUCGCAAAUUGUGUUUGGAACAGGAUUCUGCUGCUGUUGAUUGUCCACAGCAUCUCAUGAACGCCCAGUCUUCAGUGGCUCGAUCUGUUCAGACUCUGCUACAUUAAGCACGGUGAUCGCUUCAUACAAAUUGAUAUAAGAUAUUUUCAAAAUGAUGGUGGAAUUUCUUCUCCACAAGGAUUGUGUGAGUGGUCACUAAGCAGUCACCGAGCCUCCCCUAGUACCACAGUUGAAAUCGAUAGUACCACACAGAAAUCCAUCAUCAACUUGUCUGACCAAGCCCUUCAACUGGAUGAAAUUGGUGUUCUAGCCGAGGGCUUAAUUUCAGCCCCACUACCAAAGUGGUGCCCAUUGGUCAAGAGGCAGACACCGAGGAAUGCAUCAGUCAAAUGAGGCUCCGGAAAUUCUUCCACAAACCCCAAGAUGUCAGCAGCGAGCCCAAUGAGACAACCAAUGAACCGGAGCAGUCGACAGACAGAGUGCAGCGACAAAAGAAGAAGGAAUCGAAUUGGACCCUUCCAGAAGAUUACGGCCCUAGGCUGAACAUUAAUGCUGGAGCUGUCAGGAGAUGCGUUAAUGCCAGAUUCAUCAGCCACACUCACACAGUAGCACAGAACAUCACCCAAGCACUAUGCAAUGCCGUCCAUGCUCUCAAGACAUUCCACUGAUAACAGUUGGAUGGACUUUUGAUCUUUCUGCCUUUAAACUUUGUGUCUGUGUGCCCUGUUCUAUCCAUGCACCUGAUUUCAAAUAAACCAGUUGGAUGAUCACCUGGUGUCAUGUGAAUUCUGAUCCAGCGAUGAUGUUUUUGACAAAUGCAUCAGCGACAGACAGAUUGGUGAGAAUGACUUCGUGUGUGAUUUUUCCUCAUUGAUGGUUCCCUCAUCACCUGCUCAGUCUAGCUGAAAUAUCUGUUACUGCUGCGGCACUGAUUCAUCAGCUGAGGGAGGACGGAUCGUGGUAAUCAAAAGGAGGUUUCCUUAUCUAUGUUUAACUUGCAGCCAUUCGAAUUCAUGUGGUCUGGAGUCACUGUUGAGGACUCCCACGGCAAAUCCCUCCCAACUGUGUCGCUACUUCUGCUGGGUCUGUCUUGCCAGUGGGACAGGAGAUAUCCAGGGUUGGUAGUGAUGGUGCCUGACACCUUGUAAGGCUUUGUAGAGAUUGACACAACUGAGUUGAUCUUCAGAGCCGUUUCAGUGGGCACUUAAGAGUCAACCACAUUGCUAUGGAUCCAGAGUUACACGUAGGUCAGACCAGGUGCCUGUUAAUAACAAAAGGUUUACUGUGUUACAAUAAUCGUCGAGGACUUCAAUAUGCAGGUGGACUGGGAAAAUCAGGUUACUAAUGUUAUUACCAGAAGCAACUGAGAAACAAAUGGAUAAUACUAAUAGGGACAGAUCUGGAACCAAUAAGUCUGUCUGUGGACUAAUGGGAGUACCAGCGUUAUCCAGAUAGAGGAAUUCAUUGGUCAAAUGUUGACAAAAUUGCGUUUGAAGGUCUUUGUUCCGUAGAACAAUUGUAUACCGUUGUUAAUUCACCAUAAUUGGCCUAUGACAAAAUACUUGCCAAGUCUGUAACACUGCCUUAAAUAAGGAUGAUUAUUUUUGGAAGACCUGUCAUUAUGGUGAGAGAUGCAGAUAAAAUCAGUCUGGAUUAGAGUCAGUGACUGGGCCAGCUGCUUUGUUACUUAUUUUCCAGAAUAAAGAGGUGACUGAGAUACAGUGCUCGUAAUUUCUGAAACUGAUGUUAUGCUUCCAGAAGCUUUGAAGCAGAUGCCAAUGUUGAUUUAGUUUUUUCCCGUGUCUCCAUGUAUUUUUAACUUGAUAAAAUAAAUUUAUGUUCAUUCU